ACGAACGCUGGCGGCAUGCCUAACACAUGCAAGUCGAACGGGACCUUCGGGUCUAGUGGCGCACGGGUGCGUAACGCGUGGGAACCUGCCCUUAGGUUCGGAAUAACUCCCCGAAAGGGGUGCUAAUACCGGAUAAUGUCUUCGGACCAAAGAUUUAUCGCCUUUGGAUGGGCCCGCGUUGGAUUAGCUAGUUGGUAGGGUAAAAGCCUACCAAGGCGACGAUCCAUAGCUGGUCUGAGAGGAUGAUCGGCCACACUGGGACUGAGACACGGCCCAGACUCCUACGGGAGGCAGCAGUGGGGAAUAUUGGACAAUGGGCGAAAGCCUGAUCCAGCAAUGCCGCGUGAGUGAUGAAGGCCUUAGAGUUGUAAAGCUCUUUUACCCGGGAUGAUAAUGACAGUACCGGGAGAAUAAGCUCCGGCUAACUCCGUG
rnacentral:rRNA from 1 species